UGUUUCAUUUUCAUCAUCUUAACGUAUUUAACUUGUAUUUACAUGUAUGUAUACUAUAUCUUUUAGAAAGCAGCUACAGGAGGAAUUUUGUUUCAUUUUCAUCAUCUUAACGUAUUUAACUUGUAUGUAUAUUUCUUUUAGAAAGCAGCCACAGGAGGAAUCCUAAAGCCUCUACAAAAAGAGGGGAAACAGACAGCCAGAUCGUGCUAACAAGUCUUCAGGAAAUACAAAAACAGGUUGAAGCACUGAGUGGUUUACCAGUAGCCGAGCAUAGUGAGGAGCCUGUGAAUGGGUGUUCUCCAAGAGGCCCAAACUGGGUUAAACCAACAUUAAAAACGUGGGCUAAGGCUUCUACAUCCAGGGAGACCUCGGGAGGUCGUCGGGGUCCAUCAGGGGCGACCCCAUUGUAUGACCCCCCAAUAAAAAGGCAGGCUUUGGGCUCCAGCAGGCAGGACAUCACUGCAAAAGGCCCAAACUGGGUUAAACCGACAUUAAAAACGUGGGCGAAAGCAUCUACAUCCAGGGAGCCGUGGGGAGGUAAUUAAUAAUAAUAUAAUAAUUAAUAUCUCAAUCUACAUUAUUUAACUUGCAAAAAUGUUUUUACACAGGUCCACCCCAAAAGUGCAGAC